UUAAUAUCAACCUGUUUCCUCCUCCUCCUCCUUCUCCUCCUCCUCCGCGACCUCCUCCUCCUCCUUCUCCUCUUUCUCCCGAGAAACUUCGCCCGGGCGGUGCGGAACGCCGCUGCGCAGCCGGGGACGGACGCAGGCAGGCGGCGGGCAGCGGGAGGCGGCAGCCCCGUGCGGUCCCGGCGGCUCCCAGCUGAGCCCCGCGCCCGCCGCGCCAUGGCCCGGAGACCCCGACACAGCAUAUACAGUAGUGACGAGGAUGAUGAAGACAUUGAGAUGUGUGAUCAUGACUAUGAUGGGCUGCUGCCUAAGUCUGGAAAGCGUCACUUGGGGAAAACUAGGUGGACCAGGGAAGAGGAUGAAAAACUAAAGAAGCUGGUGGAACAGAAUGGAACAGAUGACUGGAAAGUUAUUGCCAAUUAUCUUCCGAAUCGAACAGAUGUGCAAUGCCAGCACCGAUGGCAGAAGGUACUAAACCCUGAACUCAUCAAGGGUCCUUGGACCAAAGAAGAAGAUCAGAGAGUGAUAGAACUUGUACAGAAAUACGGUCCGAAACGUUGGUCUGUUAUUGCCAAGCACUUAAAGGGGAGAAUUGGAAAACAAUGUAGGGAGAGGUGGCAUAACCACUUGAAUCCAGAAGUUAAGAAAACCUCCUGGACAGAAGAGGAAGACAGAAUUAUUUACCAGGCACACAAGAGACUGGGGAACAGAUGGGCAGAAAUCGCAAAGCUACUGCCUGGACGAACUGAUAAUGCUAUCAAGAACCACUGGAAUUCUACAAUGCGUCGAAAGGUCGAGCAGGAAGGUUAUCUGCAGGAGUCUUCUAAAGCCAGCCCACCAGCAGUGGCCACAAGUUUUCAGAAGAACAGUCAUUUGAUGGGUUUUGCUCAUGCUCCCCCUUCAGCUCAUCUCCCUCCAGCUGGCCAGCCCUCAGUUAACAAUGACUAUUCCUAUUACCACAUUUCUGAAGCACAAAAUGUCUCCAGUCAUGUCCCGUAUCCUGUAGCGUUACAUGUAAAUAUAGUCAAUGUCCCUCAGCCAGCUGCUGCAGCCAUUCAGAGACACUAUAAUGAUGAAGAUCCUGAGAAAGAAAAGCGAAUAAAGGAAUUAGAAUUGCUCCUCAUGUCAACUGAGAAUGAGCUGAAAGGACAGCAGGCGUCACCGAGCCAGAACCACACGUGCAGCUAUCCCGGGUGGCACAGCACUACCAUCGCUGACCACACCAGACCUCAUGGGGACAGUGCACCUGUUUCCUGUUUGGAAGAACACCACUCCACUCCAUCUCUGCCUGUGGAUCCUGGCUCCCUACCUGAAGAAAGUGCCUCGCCAGCGAGGUGCAUGAUCGUCCACCAAGGCACCAUUCUGGAUAAUGUUAAGAACCUCUUAGAAUUUGCAGAAACACUUCAAUUUAUAGAUUCUGAUUCUUCAUCAUGGUGUGAUCUCAGCAGUUUUGAAUUCUGUGAAGAAGCAGAUUUUUCACCUAGCCAACAUCACGCAGGCAAAGCCCUUCAGCUUCUGCAAAGAGAGGGCAGUGUGAAUAGAGCUGCGGGAGAGCCUAGCACAAGGGUGAACAAACUCAAGUUGAGGGAGGGUUCGCUUGACCUGCUCAAGCCCUUACCUCCUUCGAGGCACAGCACAUUUCCACUGGUCAUCCUACGAAAAAAGCGGGGCCAGGCAAGCCCCUUGGCCACUGGAGACUCUAGCUCCUUCGUAUUUGCUGACGUCAGCAGCUCAACUCCCAAGCGCUCCCCUGUCAAAAGCCUACCUUUCUCCCCUUCGCAGUUCUUAAACACUUCUGGUAACCAUGAAAACUUAGACUUGGAAAUGGCUUCUUUGACUUCUACUCCUCUCAAUGGUCACAAAUUGACUGUUACAACACCAUUUCAUAGAGACCAGACUGUGAAAACUCAAAAGGAAAAUACUAUUUUUAGAACUCCAGCUAUCAAAAGGUCAAUCCUAGAAAGCUCUCCAAGAACUCCUACACCCUUCAAACAUGCCCUGGCAGCUCAAGAAAUUAAAUAUGGUCCUCUGAAGAUGCUACCUCAGACACCAUCUCAUCUAGUAGAAGAUCUACAGGAUGUGAUCAAGCAGGAAUCAGAUGAACCAGGAAUUGUUGCUGAGUUUCAAGAAAAUGGACCACCUUUACUGAAAAAGAUCAAACAAGAGGUGGAAUCUCCAACGGAUAAAGCAGGAAACUUCUUCUGCUCCAACCACUGGGAAGGGGAGAGUCUGAACACUCAGCUGUUCACACAGGCAUCACCUGUGGCAGAUGUGCCAAAUAUUCUUACAAGUUCCGUUUUAAUGACGCCAGUAUCAGAAGAUGAAGACAAUGUUCUCAAAGCAUUUACGGUACCUAAAAACAGGUCCCUGGCGAGUCCCUUACAGGAAAUGAUUCAGUGUGACCCGGUGGCAGAAGUCGGCCCCAAACAAGUGCCUGUCAUCUUUGUGAUACACGGCUCCAGGAAAAUAUGAUGACAAUCCAUCCUGCUGUGUAGUAUUUCGUGUCACGUGUUGAGCCUCUGAGCCUUCAGAGCAAACGUGCGCACUUGGACAGUGGCCUCUGCGUUAGCCGUGAGGCGCCCGGCGGAUGGAGGCCAGGAAACCCGCUCUGUGUCCUGAGAAAGCGCCCGAGUUAGAAACACGGCCCCGUGAGCCUUCUGUCACGGAAACUUGGCCCCAGCCAGCAGGCUGGGGUACCCCAUCACCAUACAAACGCCACGUUCAUUCAGAAUGAUUCCUCUCUGCUAGCAGCCUGAUGACUCUGGCCUCGCCGUCUAAACGCUUCCUCCUGCAAUCCAGCACCUCGGUGGGGAGCCCCAGAGCUCACUGUGAAGGACACCAAGGAAGCCUUGUGGGGGCGCCUGGGAAGCUGCAUCCUGUGGAAAGAUGGAAGAUCAGAUGACGGCCUCUGGUCAGGCUCGGAAAUAUGUGAAUGCCUUCUCAACCCGGACUCUGGUCAUGUGAGAUGUUUCUCAACAAGCAUUAUGGUUUUCAGAACACUUCAGAUUGACUUGGGAUAUAUCAUUCCUCUACAUGAAACUUUUCAUGAAUGGGAGAAGAGCCUAUUUUUGUUGUGGUACAACAGUUGAGAGCAGCACCAAGUGCAUUUAGGUGGAUGAAAUCUCGGAUUUCACCCAACUAAAAGGAUUUUUUAAAAAUUAAUAAAUAAAAACAGUCUUACCUAAAUUAUUAGGUAAUGAAUUGUAGUCAGUUGUUAAUAUCCUAAUGCGGAUUUUUUUAACAUAAAAUGAAUUAUCUGUAUUUUAGAGGAUCCAACGAACCAGUAUUUUUUUCCUGUGAUGAGGUUUUUGAAAUUUUACACACAAAAAGGUACUCCAAUAUUUCACUUUUCUCAACCACUAAACACAAUGCAUUACUGUAAAUGUUGGCUUAAUACCAUGGGAUCAUUAAUCAAGAUUGUAAAUGCUCAUUUAUGGUUAAUAACAUUGGAGGUACAUUUAUUGUACUAAGCCAUUUUAUGAGUUUUUUUGUUAGCUUGCUUUAAAAAUUAUUACUGUAUGAAAUAGUUUUAUAAAAAUUAUAUUUUUAUUCAGUAAUUUAAUUUUGUAAAUGCCAAAUGAAAAAUGUGUUUUGCUGCUAUGGUUUUAGCCUGUAGACAUGCUGCUAGUAUCAGAGGGGCAGUAGAGCUUUGGAUGGAAAGAAAAGAAACUUGGUGUUAGGUAAUUGACUAUGCACUAGUAUUUCAAACUUUUUUAUUUUUUAUAUAUAUAUAUGUACUUUUUUUCCCCUUUUGUAAUACAUUGGAAAAGUUGUUUGGGAGAUUUUGCAUUUGUUGUUGUUACUGGUUUUUUGUUGUUGUUAUUGUUGGUUUAUAAGAGCAUGCAUUGCACUUCUUUUUUGGGAGAUCUGUGUUGUUGAUGUCCUGUGUUUUGUUUUGAGUUCACUCUCACUGUUCUUUAAUUCAGAGGUUAUGUGUUUGAUCAGCGUCCCCCUGGUUUCUGGGUGUAUGGUCUUAGAACUGCCAUACAGCCUGUGUUUGCAGCUGGAGUCAAGAGACUAGGGUCGAUAGCCAGUGGCUGCCUUACGAAUAUUUGGUGCAAGAUGGUCGGCACUGAACUUUGAUAUGACAGUGUACUUACUGCCUUGUAGAGAAAUAAAGCUGUGUCCUUAUUUUACUUA